rnacentral:lncRNA from 1 species
UUUAGUUUAAUUUAUUUUUAUUACUAUUUUAUUUUAUAUGUUUUAAAUUUUUGUUUUGUUGUCCAUCUAGCUUCUUCCAAACACUAUCUAGAACAACAUCAAACACUUAUUAUUUCGAUUGUCCAACAAAUGAUUAAAGAUUAAGUAUUCGGAGAGAUUUUUUAUCGUCACAAAAAGAAUUUAUCUUUUAAAAUCAAUUUAUUUGUCUUAAAGAAACACUAAAAGAAAUCUUUAAUUUAUCUAGUUUGAUGAAUUGAUCAUUAGGGUCUUGAUAAAGUUAGAGAAAAUUUUGAAAGCACUCAAAAACAUAUUGGUAGCUUUGCAAAAAAAAUGAGACUAGCAUCUUUAGGUAAAUAUAUACUAUAAAAUUGAAAACAGUUCAAAUAAAAUAUAUAUUAUAUAAAAAAGUUUAUAUGCAG